AUUCGCGCAACGUGGUCACGUGACGCGUCCGGAUUAACGGAAAUGGGCAAAAUUCGAGUGAAGUUGAGUUCGUAUCUGAGCGUCAACUAGUGAAAACAAAAGCACUAAACUGUGUAAUCAUUCCGGCAAUUUAUUCAUUAACGUCUAUCUUCAGUGCAAAGAGACGGCGUUUUGCUGCGGUUAUUAGUGCUGAGGCUCCGAUACACGGACAGACAGAAACAUGCCCAGCUGGGUUUGCUGUAACUCGUGUUUCCUGCCACCCGCUGCUGACCUGAAACUGGCCAUUUCCACCUGUGGCCAUACUGUGUGCAGCACUUGCUUUCAGAAAGGCAAAAAAGGAGAGUGCCUGAUUUGUAAAGCACAGUGUCAGAUUACUCCACUCUCACACAAAAGUAGUUCAGAAGUAAAGGCCCUCUUCUCAGACAUCAGUGUUGUAGCAACAAAUUACUUCUCUGAAAUAAGCAAGGUGCUACAAUUUCAGACAAGACACAGAAAAAGGCUCUUAGUGCAUUACCAGAAGAGGAUUGCUAAGCUAGAGGAGCACAUGCAUAUGAUUAAGAAAGAGAUGCAAGAAAUGAACAAAAAAAUGGCUGAACAGAAGGCAUAUAUUGCAAAGUUAGAAAAUGCACUCAAACAUCAAAGUGCAAAGGCAGCUUCACAGCCUCAGCAGACAUCUCAGCCGGCAUUAAAGACAACUUCCACAGUGCUGCAGUUGCCCUAUGUACCGCUGGCUUCUCAGCCCCGACUGGCGCCCUCGCAGUGCUCCGCUCAGCCAAUGGAGGUGGACGGCCAGGACUCAUUCAGGAAGCCAGAGACAGCGGGCCCGGUCUCCAGACUGUCCCUGAUCAGGCCAGCUUCCUAUGGACAGAUUGGUACCAUCCACUGCAGGUCCUCCAGUCAGAGCUCGCUGAUGAUUGGUCAACAUUCAGAACGAUCAACCACUGUCAGGACAGGCAACGCUUAUGAGCUGUCAGGCAGCACGCGUGGUGACCUGACGGGUCAAUCGCAGACGCGGUCCUACCGCAGAGGGUCGGCCCGGGAGCUGCCUGGGUUCAAAGCCCCGCCGCUCUUGCACCAUUCGUCCAUGUCGUCCCUGGAGCCCCGCCCAUUCAGCCUGGCACGAGUGCUGCCCAAGUGACAGCAGGUGAGAGAAAUGGGCCCAACAUGCAUGCAUGGCCAUAGGAUCCCAAGACAAGCAGCCAGUGAGGACUUUACAGGACAUGACAUAAUGUCCGGGACGCCAUUGUAUCCAGACUCAAUCUGGAGUUGAUUUUUCAGUGGCCAUCUUCCUAACAAUCUGGGUCUCUGCAUCAAAGAUGGUUGUGGAGAACGCUUACUGUUUGAGCAUUACCAGUGGAAGGACAUGCAGAGCUUAAUGCAUACAUGGAGCCACCAUGGAUUCAGGGCUAAAUCAACAGACUACAGGAACUCUGUCCCAUGGCUGAAUCUGGGCGUCUCAGACAUUCAGCCCCCAGUCCCCGUUUAAAGGAAAUGAUUCACUAGUGGAGCGUGGCUCAGCUAAUAGUGUUUCCCUGUCAAAUCAGUUGUCAGACAUGCCCUGUUUGACUUUUGGUACAACCUCCAGCAGCUCCAACUUGAGCCCUUGGGGCCAGGAAAUCUCUGUUUUACAAGGGCUUGUUCUAGCUGUCACGAUGGUUUUAAGAUUUAUUGCAGGCACUAGUAAGAGGUCUGUUUUCCCCAGACAAUCCAGCUUCUUAUUCCUAGAUUGAUAAUAAACAUUUAAAAUAUUGUAUGACAAUACAUUUCUUUAAAUAAAUUAAAGUAUUUUUUGUAUGAAAUAAUCCACUCUCAUUUUAGUUGUCUCUUGGAAAAAUUAAGUGCAAAUUGGAAGAAGAUGUCAGAUGGUAUCAGUAUUGUGACCAGAAUACUGUACAAUAUUACCAGCUGUUGAUCUUUGAAAAGUAACAGGAGGGUCAGAAUUCGGUUACUUUGAACAAUAUAUGCAUAUGUACUGAAAUGUACAGGUCAUUCUUUGAGAGCAAUUUCUCAUUUCUCUGUAUAUUCUCUGUAUGUUAGAUAACAUUAUAGCAUUCUGUAGGAGGACCAAACAUAGUUACUCUUGUUUGCUUUCUGAAGUGAAUCGGCCAUAUUCAUAUUUAAAUGUCAGUAUUAUUUUACUUCUAGGUUUCCAGUUUAAACCAAUUUAAUAGUUAACUCAGAACAGGCACAAAUUUCUGUGAGUCAAACCCUAGUUUCACAGCACUGAGGGAGUCCGAACGUGAAUAGGCCUGUGUAUGAUCUUACCUGAAGCCUGGUAGUGAACAAGGCCUUUCCAGAUGAGGUCGAGGGGUGAUGUCUCAGAAGGAGAGGUUUAUACCCUUUCAGACAAGCAGCGAUGAAAGUAUCAAGUUUUCAUGGCACGUUUAGUGCUUGGCUAAAGUUAAUCGAGCAUGCUUCUCCCAGGACAAUAUCUGGAGCAUGUCAAGAGAGAUGUCAGGAAAAUAUGGGUUCUGACAUGGGUUUUAGCUUGCUAGAUUUAAAAACAACAUGCUGCGAAAACUCAUGCGCCAUGACCCAUUCACCGGUGUUAAAUACGAGCAUGUAUAGCUUAACAAAAAACAUCAUAUUAAAAUAAAAGACAUCAGAGGACAUUCAGCAAGUAAAGUAGAGCCCCUAUGCUGUACUAGACAAUAGAGAACAGGAAGCUAACCUUGGACGGGACAAGAGAUGGGGGCCUCAGCCACUUUCUGUGGCGCAGACAGGGAGAGUGGCUUUUUGUUAUGGCAUUGUUGGGAAGACUAAGCCUAAUGUAGCCUAGAUUAGGCUCAUCUCCGGGCCGGGUUGCUAAAGUAAACAUCUGUGAUCCCUCGUGUGUGUCAGCUUGAAGACAAAUCUGAAAGGGUAUGAUAAAAGGUGCAAUGAAUUUGUGACACUUUUCAUCGAACAUAAAGCAACAAUGGCUGUGGAGCCGCGAGAUGCUGUGAGCGUUUCAUUGAAAGCUGUCUCAUGGGGAGUCGCUUGAAUUUCACUGUAUAUGAACAGUACGUUAAAAAGCCUCCCAGCUUUGACUGUUGACCCAAACUAAUGGAGAGAGUCGGAUUAUUGAAUUAGGUCGAGGCAAACUAUUCAGCAUACCCAUCUAUGUAGUUUCGGUGAGUGCAGCUCUCUUUGUUGCAAAGAGACAGGGUUUCCUUGGGGCAAUUAAAUACAGCCAGGAAGUACAUUUCAAAUUCAGGAUAAAGUGACGGAGAUACAACUGAACCAAUAAUGUCACCUCUAUCCAAAUCCAUUCUGAUGCAUAAAGAGAUAUUCAUAGAUUCAUCUCUGUAACAGUUUGCUGUCAGUAAAAUGUAUUGGGGUAGUAAGGUCUAAUAAGUUGUCGAUAAAGGAGCGCCUCAGCUUGAAGGACAAAGAAUGAAAUGAUAGAUCCGGAAGGGAUUAAAUCCUACUUUUUAUUGCCUAAACUCCCAGAAUGCUCUGCAAAAGAUAUGCAAAAAAUUUUAUUUUUCCAAAAUUGUUUUCUCCAGUUAUAUUAAGAGAAUGUGAUGUAAUGAUGAUUUUAAUAAUACUUCCCAUAGAAAUUUUAGGGGGAAACAAUUUAGACAAGAAGACAUAAAUUCUUAAGCAGAGAUGAUCCGGUAAAAUUAUCCCUUGAGAAAUGAUGACAAUAUCACAGCCCUUCAGUGCAGUCAAUAGAGAUUAAAACUCAGUCACCUUGAGAACAUUGGGCUUCUUCUUAUAAAGGAACUUUGGUACAAAGAAUUAGAAGACAUGUUGAGUCCUUUUUUCCAUCAGAGGUUUUUGAAAAUAGGAAAUGGUUGUACUGGUCCUCUUGAAAUCGCUUUGAUUUACAAAUGUAUCAAACCCAAAAGUAAUUCAAUAAAGAAGCUAUUCAUAUUAGAGAAAAUGUGGAAACAAUAUGAUUGUGGGAAGAUGUUAGGGCUGAAAGGCAUGGAUACAGUUGUUUUGCAAGAACGCUUCAUGUUUCUGAGUCCUCCAGCUGAGAAUGGUGACCCCACAGCCUAAGGUGCUUCCCUGGACCAGGCCAUCCUGAGGCUGCUGAUCUGGAUAUGUAGCAUGGGCUGCUGAUCUGGAUAUGUAGCAUGGGCUGCUGAUCUGGAUAUGUACCAUGGGCUGCUGAUGUGGAUAUGUAGCAUGGGCGGCUGAUCUGGAUAUGUACCAUGGGCUGCUCAGUCUCAGCCGCUGGCUACACUCCAGCUGUGGUUCGGCAAAACUACAUGCUCUGAAUUCUAAGGCUCCAUCUUAAUUCUUUGUAUUCUAAUUCUGUGUGGAUUACAGAUAUUGUUCUUGGAAAAGGAAACAGAGCAGCCAUGAAAGUAUUAAAGAUCUAUAGAUUAUCAUUAAGGUGAUUUUUAUGGUUAAUUCUUUAAAGGGGUAUGAAGUUUGUCGAUAAAUAGUAAUCUCAUAAGACAGGAACCUGUAAUCUAUAUACCUUGUAUUUAUGUAUCUAUUUGUUUAUUGGGGGGUAUGUGUUCAUAAACAUGAUCAGUACUUAUUUACACUCCUCAUGCAUUACUUACUGGUCCCUUAAAAAGUGGGAGGC